UUUUUAAGCAAGAAUCAGAAUAUAAAGAAAAGGAAACAGCUGAUCAGCCAAUGAGCAUGCACAGGAAGUGGUCACUCCAUUCCUCUGGACCUGUUUAUGAGUGCGUGUAGCAACAGUGACCGAGGCAGACUCAGCUGUCUGAGGGGCGGGGCUCCAGCUGCAUGUGGGGGUGCACAAGAAGUUCUCUAACAGGAAGGUUUCCGCUGUUUGGCACUGAAACAACCAAUCAGCAUGAUCCCUCUCUGAUGUCAUCUGCAGCUUCAAACUGUCCUCUUCCACUAGUCCUCCACACACUACUGAAGAAGAGCUCAGCUGACAACAUGAGUAGAAGAUACAGGAACUGUCCAAUCACAUACAGUACACCAGGUGUUAUUGACUUUGUGCACGCUGAGAAAAGCUGAAAGCUAAAUCAGACUUACUUUCCCAUAAAGCCUGUCUGCUCAUACGCUGGCCUUCUAUAUUGGUCCAAUGGGUUACACAAUCCUGAGAUGUGUGUGCAGGGAACGUGUGUGUGUGUGUGUGUAAACCAGAAGGCUACUGUAUGCUGUGUGAUAGGGUGAAUCAGGUGUUUAGUGUCCUGAGAAAGCUGAUCACAUGUUGGAUCGUUGAACACCACAACAGCACCAGGCCAGAUGGUCCGGGACGUCCCACAGCACAGAGGACAGAUAAGCUCAUCGUGUUGUCUCUGACGUGCAAAACAGAAGCUGCACAAACAACAUGAAACGCGUGUGACCACUCCCAGUUUGGCAAGCACAACUUCACUAACGGAAAGCAACACAUGGAAGACACAAACACUAGAUAUUCUUCACCUCUAUCUCCAUUUUAUACAGCAAGUCCUGCAAUAAACCAAACAUGUUCCACAAAACUAAAUGUUUUCCUAAAACAAAAAAGAAAGCUGUAUUGUGAACUUAAAUAACAGUGAAUAUCCCAAAGAGGCUGCUUUUAAAACUUCAAAAUGAUUAAAGUUUCACUGUUGUUUGUGUUUUAUGUUAUUGCAUUUGGGGUAUUUCAUUCUAUUUAUUUUUUAAUUGUGGUGCUGACUUUCGGUUUGCCUUUGUGAACCACUUUGUAACAUUGUUUAAAUGUGCUAGAAUAAGAUGUGAAAGUGUGUGUGUGUGUGUGUGUGUGUGUGUGCGCGUCUUUUGAAAUAAAAUACAAUGUAUAGCACAGCCUAAUCGUUCAAUAACCUUUGUGUUCCAGUAAGUUGUAGACUUGUAGAUUUGAAUGUUGUAAUAAAACAAAUGUGCGCUCA